rnacentral:rRNA from 1 species
CCUGGCUCAGGAUGAACGCUAGCUACAGGCCUAACCCCUGCAAGUCGAGGGGAAACGGCAGCUUAGCUUGCUAAGCUGGACGUCGACCGGCGCACGGGUGAGUAACGCGUAUCCAACCUGCCCCACGGUGAGGGAUAACCCGCGGAAACGCGGCCUAAUACCUCAUGGUCUCCGAGUUUGCCAUCAACCUUGGAGUAAAGAUUCAUUGCCGUGGGAUGGGGAUGCGUCUGAUUAGCUUGUUGGCGGGGCAACGGCCCACCAAGGCAACGAUCAGUAGGGGUUCUGAGAGGAAAGCCCCCCACAUUGGAACUGAGACACGGUACAAACUCCUACGGGAGGCAGCAGUGAGGAAUAUUGGUCAAUGGGCGAGAGCCUGAACCAGCCAAGUAGCGUGCAGGAAGACGGCCCUAUGGGUUGUAAACUGCUUUUAUGCGGGGAUAAAGCGGGCGACGUGUCGCCCUUUGCAGGUACCGCAUGAAUAAGGACCGGCUAAUUCCGUGCCAGCAGCCGCGGUAAUACGGAAGGUCCGGGCGUUAUCCGGAUUUAUUGGGUUUAAAGGGAGCGCAGGCCGGGUAUUAUGCGUGUUGUGAAAUGUAGGCGCCCAACGUCUGCACCGCAGCGCGAACUGGUGCCCUUGAGUACGCACGACGUUGGCGGAAUUCGCCGUGUAGCGGUGAAAUGCUUAGAUAUGGCGAAGAACUCCGAUUGCGAAGGCAGCUGACGGGAGCGCUACUGACGCUCAUGCUCGAAAGCGCGGGUAUCGAACAGGAUUAGAUACCCUGGUAGUCCGCGCGGUAAACGAUGGAUGCCCGCUAUUUGCGCAUUAGCGCGAGUGGCCAAGUGAAAACGUUAAGCAUCCCACCUGGGGAGUACGCCGGCAAGGGUGCAACUCAAAUGAAUUGACGG